GGGAAGGUGGCUCAGUGGUAGAGCGCUUGCCUUGCAUGCAUGAAGCCCUGGGUUCGAUUCCUCAGCACCCCA
rnacentral:tRNA from 1 species